CAGCCGCCGCGGUAAUACGUAGGUGGCAAGCGUUGUCCGGAAUUAUUGGGCGUAAAGGGCUCGCAGGCGGUUUCUUAAGUCUGAUGUGAAAGCCCCCGACUCAACCGGGGAGGGUCAUUGGAAACUGGGAAACUUGAGUGCAGAAGAGGAGAGUGGAAUUCCACGUGUAGCGGUGAAAUGUGUAGAGAUGUGGAGGAACACCAGUGGCGAAGGCGACUCUCUGGUCUGUAACUGACGCUGAGGAGCGAAAGCGUGGGGAGCGAACAGGAUUAGAUACCCCCGUAGUCCCUGUCUCUUAUAC
rnacentral:rRNA from 1 species